GGCAUAUGGAGGUUCCCAGGCUAGGGGUGGAAUCGGAGCUGCAACUGCCGGCCUACACCUCAGCCACAGCAACAUCAGAUCCAAGCCACAUCUGUGACCUACACCCCGGUUCACAGCAACGCCGGAUCCUUAACUCACUGAGCAAGACCAAGGAUGGAACCCUCAACCCCAUGGUUCAUAGAUUCAUUUUCGCUGUGCCACAACAGGAACUCCUUGAUCCUUUUUUUGGUUGGUUGGUUGGUUGGUCUUUUGCCUUUUCUAGGGCUGCUCCCAUGGCAUAUGAAGGUUCCCAAGCUAGGGGUCUAAUCGGAGUUGCAGCCACUGCCUGUUCAGUAAGUGGUGCUGGGAAAACUGGACAGCCACAUGGAAAAGAAUGAAAUUAGAACUCUCCUUGACACCAUACACAAAAAUAAACUCCAAAUGGAUUCAAGACCUAGAUAUAAGACCAGACACUACAAAACUCUUGGAGGAAAACACAGGCCAAACACUCUCUGACAGAAACAACAGCAACAUCUUCUCAGAUCCAGCUCUUAGAGUACUGACAGUAAAACAAAAAUAAACAAAUGGGACCUAAUCAAACUGAAAAGUUUCUGCACAGCAAAGGAAACCCUAAACAAAACGAAAAGACAACCCACAGAAUGGGAGAAAAUCUUUGCAAGUGAAUCCACUGACAAGGGAUUAAUCUCCAAAAUUUAUAAACACCUCCUGCAGCUCCAUACCAAAAAAACAAACAACCCCUUCAAAAAAUGGGCAGAAGAUCUAAACAGACAGUUCUCUAAAGACAUGCAAAUGGCCAAAAAACACAUGAAAAGAUGUUCAACAUCACUCAACAUUAGAGAAAUGCAAGUCAAAACCACGAUGAGGUACCACCUUACACCAGCCAGAAUGGCCAUCAUCCAAAAGUCUACAAACAGUAAGUGCUAGAGAGGGUGUGGAGAAAAGGAACCGUAUUACACUGUUGGUGGGAUUGUAAAUUGGUGCAACCACUGUGGAAAACAGUAUGGAGAUUCCUCAGAAAACUAAAAAUAGAACUACCAUUUGAUCCAGCAAUCUCACUCCUGGGCAUCUAUCCAGAGAAAGCCAUGACUCAAAAAGACACAUGUACUCCGAUGUUCAUUGCAGCACUAUUUGCAAUAGCCAAGACAUGGAAACAACCUAAAUGUCCAUUGACAGAGGAGUGGAUCAAGAAGAUGGAAUAUUACUCAGCCAUUAAAAGGAACGAAAUACUGGCAUUCUUAGCAACAUGGAUGGACCCAGAAAUUAUCACGCUAAGUGAAGUCAUUCAGACAAUGAGACACCAACAUCAAAUGCUUUCACUGACAUGUGGAAUCUGAAAAAAGGACAGACUGAACUUCUUUGCAGAACAGAUGCUGACUCACAGACACUGAAAAACUUAUGGUCUCCAAAGGAGACAAUUUGGGGGGGGGAGAAUGCACUAGGGUUGUGGGUUGAAAAUCCUAUAAAAUUGGAUUGUGAUGAUCAUUGUACAACUAUAAAUGUAAUAAAUUCAUUGAUUAAGAAAAAAAAUAUUUUACAGUCUACUGACAUUAAAGAAACUUUUAAUUUGGUACCCUGAAAGAAAAAAAUAAUGCUGACCAUCUGGAUUUAACACAAAGUUUUCCAAUAUUCAUAUCCCCAAAUCAAUUUUAGAAUUAUAUUCCUAGGCUCCUAUGUACUUCCCACCACAAGCAAAAUUUUGAGACCUCAGAAAGUAGGAUUUUCUUUUUUUUUUUUUUUUUUUUUUUUUUUUGUCUUUUGUCUUUUUGUUGUUGUUGCUAUUUCUUGGGCCGCUCCCGCGGCAUAUGGAGCAGCCCAAAAUAGACUAAAUAAAUAAAUAAAUAAUAAAAUAAAUAAAAUCUUCAUUAACUACUGAGUCAGUACGUUUUUGUUCUUUUUAUGUGUGUACAUUUGCUUCAAAGUUCUCUUGUCCAAAGGAGGCACGGAGAAAUCACAGCAAUUUGAGCAGAAAAGAGCAGAAGAAACACGAGAGACAGGCCGUCUCCAUCAACCCACAGAGUGAAGGAAAAGUCGCCCAGGAUCCCCAAGCUGAACUUGUCAAAAUAAUGGAUUUUGCAGUUAAUUUCCAAUUUGCCUUAGAAUCACCAUCUCAUCAACUAAAUAGAUAUGAUAAGUGGAUUUUAUUUUUAUAUUCUAGAGACUUCAUUUAUUUACUUUCUGCAUUCUAUAGUAUUAAGGAAAUAAAAUGUAAAGGUACAUUUGUCAAUUACGUAACUCACAACAGAACCAAAAAUAGUAUGAUCUAGAAAGAAGCCUUUUUGCCUUCCAUUUUCAAAUUUUUCUACACUGAAUGUGUAAUAUCUGUGGGGUUGUGAGGUUUUUUUACUUUUUAAAAAGUACAACUUCAUGGUGAGUUGUUCCAAAUACAUUCAUUUGUUCAUUUAACUCAACAUAUACUCUUGAGUGCCAACUGUAUGCCCACACUGUGACAGACUGUGGGGAAUCACAUGCAUUUGUGGUCUCAGAAAAGGGACAGCUUUUGAUGUAUUUAUAGUUGCUAUCAGAAAAGUGAAAACUAGUGAAGGAAAUGAUCGAUCGGCCUUCGGAGAAGUCGUAUAAGGUGGCUUCUAAAAACUUACUGGGGUAGAUUUUAGCUGAGAGGUAUUGCCUCUGCCCAGGUGGUUCUGACUGGUCUUAGUCAGCAAGAUCCAAAUGCCAAGAAUAUGGAAAUCAGCACUGAGGAGGAGUGUGCAGAGACACACACGAUUUGAAGUCAAUCGCCAAGGGGAGAGAAAAGCCAUGGACCAGUUUAAAACUGCAUCACUGGAUGAAAAUUAAACCUAAAGAAAUAACAUUUCUAAUAAAGAUAUUCAUGGUGUCAAGGAAAGGCUAGAGAAAAAAACUAUACUUCUGGAGUUCCUGCUGUGGCGCAGCGCGUUGAGGAUCUGACUGCAGCGGUUUGGGUUGCCAUGGAGGCACGGGUUUGAUCUCCAGCAUGGCGCAGUGGGCUAAGCAUCUGUCAUUGCUGCAGCUGGCUCAGAUUCCAUCUCUGGCCCUGGAACUUCUACAUGCUGCAGGUGCGACCAAAUAAACAAAAAACUGUAAUUCCAUUUUCUAUUAGAAAUUAUUUACUCUGAUCAUUAGUCCAUCUGUUGAAGGCCACAGAGAAAGUCAGCUAUACUUGAUCUUAUCAAAUAUUUAUAAUCAUAAUACAACCUGAAAUAAAAAUAGGAUACAUUUUGAAAAUCCAAGACAUAAUGGUCCAUUUGGAUCCCCAAGUGUAACAAAGAUGAAGUCUGUCCUCAGCACAUUGCCAAGGCCACAGCUGCAGAUCUUUGCAAGUGUUUGGUGAACUCCCUGAUACCAGGUAAUCUGCCUCAUCAUCUGAUGACAAAAUCCCUAUAACAAUAAACUAAUUCUGCCAUCUGAGGUGCAAACCUUUGCUAGACAUAUUCAAUCCCAAAGCUACUGCUCUAUUUCAUUCUCCAAGAAU
rnacentral:lncRNA from 1 species